GAUGAACGCUGGCGGCGUGCCUAAUACAUGCAAGUCGAGCGAACAGACGAGGAGCUUGCUCCUCUGACGUUAGCGGCGGACGGGUGAGUAACACGUGGAUAACCUACCUAUAAGACUGGGAUAACUUCGGGAAACCGGAGCUAAUACCGGAUAAUAUAUUGAACCGCAUGGUUCAAUAGUGAAAGACGGUUUUGCUGUCACUUAUAGAUGGAACCGCGCCGCAUUAGCUAGUUGGUAAGGUAACGGCUUACCAAGGCAACGAUGCGUAGCCGACCUGAGAGGGUGAUCGGCCACACUGGAACUGAGACACGGUCCAGACUCCUACGGGAGGCAGCAGUAGGGAAUCUUCCGCAAUGGGCGAAAGCCUGACGGAGCAACGCCGCGUGAGUGAUGAAGUUCUUCGGAUCGUAAAACUCUGUUAUUAGGGAAGAACAAAUGUGUAAGUAACUAUGCACGUCUUGACGGUACCUAAUCAGAAAGCCACGGCUAACUACGUG
rnacentral:rRNA from 1 species